rnacentral:lncRNA from 1 species
CAGAGAAGAGAAGAAAUCGAGAGGAGAGUCUCACAGAGAGAGGUUGGGCAUUCUUCAUUUGGAGGCCGAGAGGAAGACAAGAAUAUAAGCCAAGUAAAUAUCCAAACAAGGUAAGUUAGGUUAGGGUUAUUUAGUGGACCAAACAAGGCUCGACUCAAAAAUAAUGGGCUUCAAAUUAAUAACAUAGCCCUCCAAGGAAAUGGAACGAACCGUGAG